GCCGGGCAUGGUGGCUCAUGCCUGUAAUCCUAGCACUCUGGGAGGCCGAGGCAGGUGGAUCACCUGAGGCCAGGAGUUCGUGACCAGCCUGGCCAACAUGGUGAAUUCCCGUCUCUA
rnacentral:SRP_RNA from 2 species